CGGGGCGUAGCGCAGCCUGGCUAGCGCGCCUGCUUUGGGAGCAGGAGGUCCCCAGUUCGAAUCUGGGCGCCCCGA
rnacentral:tRNA from 1 species